CUUAACCAUGGCUUUAGGAAUCAGGAUGCAUAUAGGUACUUCCUUGUCCUCUUUCUUUUCCCCUUACAGUUUUAUGGGUAUGUUUCCCAGCAGCAAAACAUGAUGCAAGAUUUCGUGAUGAUAGCCACUUACCACAGAGCCAUCUUCCAGAACCAUGCUGACUUUAGAGACAAGGUUUAAUGAAAUUCCUUUCUGGGCCAGAGCACUGCUGGCUGAGAACUCUACUUGGCAUCCAUCCAGGAAGCUGACCCUGCUGGAACUUACCCCAUCUCCCCUCCUUGGAGUUUCUGUUAAUUGCCAUCUGGCUAUUUUUAGUUUCUCCAAGUGAGUGCUGGGCACAAGCAGGGAAAGUCCAUCCUGCUGAGGGAGUGAGGUUGUGUGAGCUGUGGGGUUUUAAUUUGGAAAUGUUUUGACACUUC
rnacentral:lncRNA from 1 species